ACUCCUACGGGAGGCAGCAGUAAGGAAUAUUGCGCAAUGGACGAAAGUCUGACGCAGCGACGCCGCGUGGGGGAUGAAGGUCUUCGGAUUGUAAACCCCUUUCGGCAGGGAAGAUGGAACGGGCAACCGUUCGGACGGUACCUGCAGAAGCAGCCACGGCUAACUUCGUGCCAGCAGCCGCGGUAAUACGAAGGUGGCAAGCGUUGUUCGGAUUCACUGGGCGUACAGGGAGCGUAGGCGGUUAGGUAAGCCCUCCGUGAAAUCUCCGGGCCUAACCCGGAAAGUGCAGAGGGGACUGCUUGGCUAGAGGAUGGGAGAGGAGCGCGGAAUUCCCG
rnacentral:rRNA from 1 species